UAUUUAAAGAGGAAAAGUAGUGUUACACCACACACGUGUGCCGCUUGGCUCGAGUAGGCUCGCACGUGUAAAUUUAUGGCACGACGUGGCGUGGCAUGGCACAUACGGAUAAUAGUAUGAUUAUUUUAUUAUUAUUUUAUCAGCAUAAUUUUUAAAAUUUUUGCUGCCGUGACCGUCAAUUAACCGUUUGAUCAAACUCAGCAAAAGGACUCUGUUAAAAGUUUUAACAGAUAGUACUGCUCAUGAUGAAAUAUGCCCACUCACAUGUUGGUGUGGCUUCGAUAGUCG
rnacentral:lncRNA from 1 species